UGGGGAAUAUUGGACAAUGGAGGAAACUCUGAUCCAGCAAUUCUGUGUGUGUGAAGAAGGCUUUAGGACUGUAAAACACUUUUAGUAGGGAAGAAAAAAAUGACGGUACCUACAGAAGAAGCAACGGCUAAAUACGUGCCAGCAGCCGCGGUAAUACGUAUGUUGCGAGCGUUAUCCGGAAUUAUUGGGCUUAAAGGGCAUCUAGGCGGUAAGACAAGUUGAAGGUGAAAACCUGUGGCUCAACCAUAGGCUUGCCUACAAAACUGUUGAACUAGAGUACUGGAAAGGUGGGUGGAACUACACGAGUAGAGGUGAAAUUCGUAGAUAUGUGUAAGAAUGCCGAUGAUGAAGAUAACUCACUGGACAGAAACUGACGCUGAAGUGCGAAAGCUAGGGGAGCAAACAGG
rnacentral:rRNA from 1 species